rnacentral:rRNA from 1 species
GCGGCGAGUGGCGACGGGUGAGUAAUACAUCGGAACGUGUCCUGGAGUGGGGGAUAGCCCGGCGAAAGCCGGAUUAAUACCGCAUACGCUCGGGAGAGGAAAGCGGGGGAUCUUCGGACCUCGCGCUCAAGGGGCGGCCGAUGGCAGAUUAGCUAGUUGGUGGGGUAAAGGCCUACCAAGGCGACGAUCUGUAGCUGGUCUGAGAGGACGACCAGCCACACUGGGACUGAGACACGGCCCAGACUCCUACGGGAGGCAGCAGUGGGGAAUUUUGGACAAUGGGGGCAACCCUGAUCCAGCAAUGCCGCGUGUGUGAAGAAGGCCUUCGGGUUGUAAAGCACUUUUGUCCGGAAAGAAAACUUCGUCCCUAAUACGGGUGGAGGAUGACGGUACCGGAAGAAUAAGCACCGGCUAACUACGUGCCAGCAGCCGCGGUAAUACGUAGGGUGCGAGCGUUAAUCGGAAUUACUGGGCGUAAAGCGUGCGCAGGCGGUUCGCUAAGACCGAUGUGAAAUCCCCGGGCUUAACCUGGGAACUGCAUUGGUGACUGGCGGGCUAGAGUAUGGCAGAGGGGGGUAGAAUUUCCACGUGUAGCAGUGAAAUGCGUAGAGAUGUGGAGGAAUACCGAUGGCGAAAGGCAGCCCCCUGGGCCAAUACUGACGCUCAUGCACGAAAGCGUGGGGGAGCAAAACAGGAUUAGAUACCCUGGGUAGUCCACGCCCUAAACGAUGUCACUAGUUGUCGGGUCUUCAUUGACUUGCUACGUAGCUAACGCGUGAAGUUGACCGCCUGGGAGUACGGUCGCAAGAAUUAAAACUCAAGGCACUUGACCAGGCGAACCGCACUAAGUCGAUGAUGCAUGUGGUAAUCA